rnacentral:rRNA from 1 species
AAUAGAUACCCCGGUAGUCCACGCUGUAAACGAUGGAUACUAGGUGUGGGAGGUAUCGACCCCUUCCGUGCCGCAGUAAACGCAAUAAGUAUCCCGCCUGGGGAGUACGGCCGCAAGGUUGAAACUCAAAGGAAUUGACGGGGGCCCGCACAAGCAGCGGAGCAUGUGGUUUAAUUCGAAGCAACGCGAAGAACCUUACCAGAGCUUGACAUCUCCUGCAUAGUCCGUAAUGGGAUGAAAUCCUUCGGGACAGGAAGACAGGUGGUGCAUGGUUGUCGUCAGCUCGUGUCGUGAGAUGUUGGGUUAAGUCCCGCAACGAGCGCAACCCUUAUACUUAGUUGCCAGCAGUAAGAUGGGCACUCUAAGUAGACUGCCGGAGACAAUUCGGAGGAAGGUGGGGAUGACGUCAAAUCAUCAUGCCCCUUAUGUUCUGGGCUACACACGUGCUACAAUGGGUAUAACAACGGGAAGCGAGCCAGUGAUGGUAAGCAGAUCCCUAAAAAGUACUCCCAGUUCAGAUUGUUCUCUG